rnacentral:rRNA from 1 species
AAAAGGAGAGAUCCGGCAUAGGAUGGACAUGCGUCGCAUUAGGUAGACGGCGGGGUAACGGCCCACCGUGCCGACGAUGCGUAGGGGUUCUGAGAGGAAGGCCCCCCACACUGGUACUGAGACACGGACCAGACUCCUACGGGAGGCAGCAGUGAGGAAUAUUGGUCAAUGGCCGAGAGGCUGAACCAGCCAAGUCGCGUGAGGGAAGAAUGUCCUAAGGAUUGUAAACCUCUUUUGUCGGGGAGCAAAAAGGCUCUGCGGAGUCGUAUUGAGAGUACCCGAAGAAAAAGCAUCGGCUAACUCCGUGCCAGCAGCCGCGGUAAUACGGAGGAUGCGAGCGUUAUCCGGAUUUAUUGGGUUUAAAGGGUGCGCAGGCGGCGUGUCAAGCAAGCGGUAAAAUAGCGGGGCUCAACCCCGUCGAGCCGUUUGAACUGGCGCGCUUGAGUUCAGGCGAGGUAGGCGGAAUUCGUGGUGUAGCGGUGAAAUGCAUAGAUAUCACGAAGAACUCCGAUUGCGAAGGCAGCUUACCAGUCUGCGACUGACGCUCAGGCACGAAAGUGUGGGUAUCGAACAGGAUUAGAUACCCUGGUAGUCCACACAGUAAACGAUGAGCGCUAGGUGUCCGGGUCGCAUGAGACUUGG